CCCAGUGGUUGGUCAGUAUCCAGCGCUAAUCCGUGCCUGUGAUAGUGUUACAUUGCUGGGAGAUAAAGACAAUGCACCCAAUGCUGCUGUCACACUGUUACUGUUCUGGUGACGUGUAGCACAUGCAACUAGGCAUUGUUGUACUUCCUCGAGAGUGCGCCGAACAUCUGCCAUGCAUGUUUUGUCGCUAGUCUGGAAGCACACAGA
rnacentral:snoRNA from 1 species